rnacentral:rRNA from 1 species
GAUGAACGCUGGCGGCGUGCCUAAUACAUGCAAGUCGAGCGAACGGACGAGAAGCUUGCUUCUCUGAUGUUAGCGGCUGACGGGUGAGUAACACGUGGAUAACCUACCUAUAAGACUGGGAUAACUUCGGGAAACCGUAGCUAAUACCGGAUAAUAUUUUGCACCGCAUGGUUCAAAAGUGAAAGACGGUCUUGCUGUCACUUAUAGAUGGAUCCGCGCUGCAUUAGCUAGUUGGUAAGGUAACGGCUUACCAAGGCAACGAUGCAUAGCCGACCUGAGAGGGUGAUCGGCCACACUGGAACUGAGACACGGUCCAGACUCCUACGGGAGGCAGCAGUAGGGAAUCUUCCGCAAUGGGCGAAAGCCUGACGGAGCAACGCCGCGUGAGUGAUGAAGGUCUUCGGAUCGUAAAACUCUGUUAUUAGGGAAGAACAUAUGUGUAAGUAACUGUGCACAUCUUGACGGUACCUAAUCAGAAAGCCACGGCUAACUACGUG